UCCUGGGGUGGGGGAACCUGAGUGUGGGGCCUGGAGAGUGUCAAUAGUAAUUUGGCAAAAUGUAUCAAGAACUUUAAAAAUAUCUUUGGAUAUGAUACUUCCCAUUUUAGGACUUAAGUACAAAGAUCUUCAUCACAAUGUUACUUGUGAGAGAAAAACCUGGAAACCAUGUAAAUACCCCAUAAAAGGGAAUGGUUAAAUACAAUAUCCUCAGGGGAUAUGUUCCAAGACCCCCCAGUGGAUGCCUGAAACCACAGAUAGUACCAAGUCUUAUAUAGACUAUUUUUUCCCCUAUACAUACGUACCUAUGAUAAAGUUUAAUUUAUAAAUUAGGCACAGUAAGAGAUUAACAACAAUAACUAAUAAACAAAUAGAAUAAUUAUAACAAUAUAUUGUUAAUAAAAGGUACCGUAGAGCUUAGCAACCUCAGAAUACAAUUUUUUUCUUAAGUAGAGAACUUUCCCUUUUUCAGUUAAAGGAAGCAGUUUACGGCUUCUCUUUGGCGUAUCCAAAUUGUCAGCAUCAUUACUCUUGCACUUUGAGGCCGUUAUUAAAUAAAAUAAGGGUGACUUGAACACCAGCACUGUGACACCACGACAGAAGAUCUGAGAACCCAGACAGCUACUAAGGAACUAACAGGCGGGUAGCGUAUACAGUGUGGAUCCAAUGGACAAGAGGGUGAUUCAUGUCUGUCCCCGGCAGGACAGAGUGUGAUAACUGGAGAUUUCAUAACACUGCUCAGAACGGUGCACAAUUUGAAACUUAUGAAUUGUUCAUUUCUGGAAUUUUCCACUUAAUAUUUUUGGAGCUCAUUGACUGCACGUAACUGAAACCGCAGAAAGGGAAACCGCUUUACGGCAACAUCAUGUUGCCAGUACAAACGUUCACUGCAGCAGGCCAUGAAAGGAAAGGCUGAGAGAUGAGGCUAUGUAAUAUUAGCAAUGUCUGCCUGUCAAAAGAUCAUUAAAAUAUUUAAAAAGCAAACUGGAAAAAUAUUCAUUAUGUGUGACAAGAGUUCUUACAAAUGAAGAAGAAAAUUUAAUAGAAAGAUGAGCAAAAGGCUUGAAUGGAGAACUCCUAAAAGAAAUUGUCACUAAAUCUAUGGAAAAAAUAUUCUCAGCUUCACACUAAAAAGUUAAAAUGGGGGCCGGCCCCGUGGCUGAGUGGUUAAGUUCGCGCGCUCCACUGCAGGCGGCCCAGCGUUUCGUUGGUUCGAAUCCUAGGUGCGGACAUGGCACUGCUCAUCAAACCACGCUGAGGCAGCGUCCCACAUGCCACAACUAGAAGGACCCACAACGAAGAAUGUACAACUAUGUACCGGGGGGCUUUGGGGGAAAAAAGGAAAUAAUAAAAUCUUUAAAAAGUUAA
rnacentral:lncRNA from 1 species